rnacentral:rRNA from 1 species
UGGGGAAUAUUGCACAAUGGGCGAAAGCCUGAUGCAGCGACGCCGCGUGAGGGAUGGAGGCCUUCGGGUUGUAAACCUCUUUCAGUAAGGGUGAAGGCUCUCUUUUGUGGAGGGUUGACAGUACUUGCAGAAGAAGCGCCGGCUAACUACGUGCCAGCAGCCGCGGUAAUACGUAGGGCGCGAGCGUUGUCCGGAAUUAUUGGGCGUAAAGGGCUUGUAGGUGGCGUGUCGCGUCUGCUGUGAAAUUCCAGGGCUUAACUUUGGGAUUGCAGUGGGUACGGGCAUACUAGAGUGCAGUAGGGGAGAUUGGAAUUCCUGGUGUAGCGGUGAAAUGCGCAGAUAUCAGGAGGAACACCGGUGGCGAAGGCGGGUCUCUGGGCUGUUACUGACGCUGAGGAGCGAAAGCGUGGGGAGCGAACAGG